GUGCCCAGCACCAGCACCUGGACUCGGGGCCGCAACACCUAUGGCUUUCCGCUACAGAAGGCAGCACUUCUUUCCCAGGUUCGCUAUACUGUAACGGUUUAUGGGACAGUCCCAGAUCCACCUGAGCCCGGGUACCCCCCGCCCAGCACCCCCAGUGCGAUUCGGAGAGGUCAGGAGAGAAUGAAUGAGAGCAGGGAAGGGCCCUGGCCCUGCCCCACGUCCCCAGCCAGACAACAGUCACCCGAGCUCCCCCGCAGCUCUGCCCGAGCCCCGCCGGCUCACCCCGUGGCUCCCGCGGAGCAGAGGCGCAGCAGACGCCGGGCCCCAUGCCGCCAUGCCCGGCGACGCAGCCCGCAGCCCGAGGUCAGCGUACAGGCGGAAAGACUCCAACACUCGGUUUGGAACCGCAGCCCUGGGCGAGCCCGCCCCCUGCCGCCCGGAGGCCGCGCCCGCCCCGUGGUCGGCACCCGGAAACGCCAUACCUGCAGGCCUGGGCGCACCCUCUAUCCCGCCAGACCAGCUUCCAUGGCAGGGCCCCCUGCUCGCCUCCAGACGCCCACCUCGGCAGUCGGGUGCACAGGGCAAGCCUCCCUCCUGACAGCCCAGUCAGUGCUCUGGAGAACUGGUUUCUUUCCAGAAAGGAGUUCUGUGAAAUUCUCAAGCAACAGGGGGUAUUCUCAGAACAAUCACCCACAGAACUGUGACUGAGAACUGUUGGCGCUCCACUGUGCACCCCUUACCUUCAGCUUCCAAGAGGAUGUCCAAGCUCUUUGAGAGAAAAAAAUGUCUCGAAUCCUUCAGCCUCCCCAUCACACAAAGGAAAUCACCUUGUACGACUUCACCCUUAUCUACUCAUCCAUCUGGAAUCUAAACUGCAGGACACGACACCCGAAUUGUCCUGCACAGGUCUGCCAGGCUUUUGGUCACACAAUUUGUUGUUUUUGUUUUGAGACUCUCCUCCAACCAAGCCACAUCAGUACUGCCUGCAAUUUGAAUCUUGAACCUUCUUAAAAUGUUUAUAUUUUGUCUGGAUUUUUGCUUGCAUGUAUGUCUGUCUGCACAUGUGCAGUGUCCAAGGCCAGGAGAAAGUGUCAGAUCCCCUGGAACUGGAGUUACAGAUGGGUGUGGACUACCAUAUGGGUGCUGGGAAUCAAGCUCUGGUCCUCUUCAGGAACAGCCAGUGCUCUUAACCACUGAGCCAUCUCUCUAGCCUCUUCAUUUCUUUAAGCCACCUUUGGGCCCAGGAAAUAGCUGAGCCUUUCUGCUCUGAACUUGAGGUCCGUUCACCUUUGUUUACUUUGGUCUAAUCACUCUUUGUUUUGUUUACUGUAUGGUCCAAGCUGGCCUCGAAUUUAUGAUGUCGCUACAGAUGAGCUUGGAUUUCUGACCCUCUUGUUCAGGGUUACAAGCCUGCGCCACCUCACCACGGGACCUCCUCAGUUAGGGUCUCUUGGGAUGCAUCUUCUGUUUUUACUUCACUGAGAUGAUUUUUAGUAACAGUCAUUUUAUAGAGGAGCCUCCUAGCACCCCAAGAGUCAGUUCUUAAAAGAUUCAACCCUACAGCCAGCGGUGGGGGCACACGCCUUUAAUCCCAGCAGUUGGGUGGCAGAGACAGGUGAAUCUGAGUUUGAGGCCAGCCUGGAUUAUAGAGCAAGUUCCAGAAGAGCCAGAACUACACAGAGAACCCUUUCGGGGGGAGGAGGGAUUCAAGUAGCUGUACACCAGCUUCUUAACCUUACCUGAACAUUUAUAGAAAAGACUGAAAAUCUCCUGGCUUGCAUCUCCUGCCUCCCCAGACUGCUAAACUUUCCUUCUGAGUAAAGCUCUACAAUGUCCUCCGUCCCUUCAAAGUCAAACAGAGUGGUAUGACCUUGGAUCUGUCAGCCAAGGGGCACCCAGAUUGCUUCUAACUGGAAAAUAAUGUUAAGGAUGCAUGGCUUGUUUCUGGCUAUGAGGCUUCAAAGCCUAACUCUGGCCUUCCUGACUCUUGUCUGGGUUAUUUCUACUCUUCUGAAGCUUCAAAUAGUUUCCAAAGACUCAGCUGUUUGAUUCCCUGACACACAUUUUGGUGAUCACUUCAAGUUUUUUUUAAGGUUAUAUGUAAUUUUAAAAUGAUCAUUAAAUUUAUUUAAUUAUGGGGGGCAUGCACAUGCCACAGCAUACAUGUGAAGAUAAAAGAACAGAUUUCUGGAGUUGGUUCUCUCCACUAUGAGGGUUCCAGAGAUGAAACUCAGGUUGCAGACUUGGCAGCAAACACCUUGACCUACUGGGCCAUCUCAAUGGCCUUUGUGAUCAUUUUCAGGCCUACUGAAACAAACAAAAACUCACCAAAAAUGAGGUAGGCACAUAGCAAGACUUCAAGUCUGAAGCUAAUCGGGGCUGCAAAAUAAGGCCAAGCUAAUAAAUGUAUAAUGCUGAUUUAACAGUUUACCUGUAUUUUAUACAAGAUUAAGGACAUGUGAUCACUUAGGAAGUUUCCAACUCUACUAAAAAAGUCCAAAACCAGUUUUCAGACCAACCCAAAAUGCACCUGUAGUUUUCUAAAACUGAAUGUAACGGCUAUUCUUGCAUGUCUACUUAACUACAUAUGAAAUUAACUAAAACCAAACCAACCAAGAACACAUGUGAAGGACUUGUUAAGUCAUUUGAAGUGAAAAGACCCACUUUUAAUCCAGAUCUUUUGAGGUGGAAGGUUCACCAUUAAUCUGGGGCACAGCUUCUGUUGGCAGCCUAUAUAAAGGACAUGGAAGCAGGACUGCUUUCUUGCUCUUGAAGGCAAGUCCAUUCCUUCACUGGCAUUAGAGCCUACUUUGAGACUCUGGUAUACUAAAGAUCAGCUGAGACAGCCAGUCCUGUGGACUGAACAACCACUGAAUUCUUGAACCUUCCAUUGAUAGACAGACAUUGUUGGACUAGCUGGACCACAGUCUGUAAGCCAUUCAAUAAUCCCAUAUAUAUUCAUUCUCCCAAUUCUGUUCCCCUAAAGCCAUGGUCCUUCCACUCCCUAGUGCUACAAUCCUUUAAUACAGGUCUUCUUGUGUUGUGGUGUCCCCCAACUAUGGUUUAUUUUUGUCGCUACUUCAUAACUGUAACAAUUAUUUUUGCUGCUACUUCAUAACUAAUUUUGCUACUGUCAUUAAACAUAAUGUAAAUCUG